GACGAACGCUGGCGGCGUGCUUAACACAUGCAAGUCGAACGGAAAGGCUCUGCUUUUGUGGGGUGCUCGAGUGGCGAACGGGUGAGUAACACGUGAGUAACCUGCCCUUGACUUUGGGAUAACUUCAGGAAACUGGGGCUAAUACCGGAUAGGAGCUCCUGCUGCAUGGUGGGGGUUGGAAAGUUUCGGCGGUUGGGGAUGGACUCGCGGCUUAUCAGCUUGUUGGUGGGGUAGUGGCUUACCAAGGCUUUGACGGGUAGCCGGCCUGAGAGGGUGACCGGCCACAUUGGGACUGAGAUACGGCCCAGACUCCUACGGGAGGCAGCAGUGGGGAAUAUUGCACAAUGGGCGGAAGCCUGAUGCAGCAACGCCGCGUGCGGGAUGACGGCCUUCGGGUUGUAAACCGCUUUCGCCUGUGACGAAGCGUGAGUGACGGUAAUGGAUAAAGAAGCACCGGCUAACUACGUG
rnacentral:rRNA from 1 species